CACGUAGGGGGCGAGCGUUGUCCGGAUUUAUUGGGCGUAAAGAGCUCGUAGGCGGCUCAGUAAGUCGGGUGUGAAAACUCCAGGCUCAACCUGGAGACGCCACCUGAUACUGCUGUGGCUAGAGUCCGGUAGGGGAGCAUGGAAUUCCUGGUGUAGCGGUGAAAUGCGCAGAUAUCAGGAGGAACACCUAUAGCGAAGGCAGCUCGCUGGGACGACACUGACGCUGAGACGCGAAAGCGUGGGGAGCAAACAGG
rnacentral:rRNA from 1 species